rnacentral:lncRNA from 1 species
GUUUGCUAAUAAUCUCUAGGACUGUAAAUUCCAGUGAGAACCUUAAACAUAGAGCUUAGAGUCCCAUUCUAUUAUGCCUGGUGGAAACCACUCUGGAAUUCUGAGGCCAGGUUGGAUCAGACACAUUGAGUAGGGCAUAGGAAACUGGGGCAGACCCACAAGUGACAAAGAAUGGUGAAAGAAAGGGACAGUGGGAUCUGAAGAAUGGUACUCUAUCUCCUGGAUGAAAGAGGCUUGAGAAGAGGCACAAAGACCAUCUUUAAAUAUCCAAGUGGCUAUCAUGUGGAAGCUAGUGGUGUGGCUGCAAGAGACCCAAGUGGCUUGUGA